AUGCAGUUGAAUCUGAUAGCGCCUGGUUGCCAAGGGAAGGAUGUCAUUUCUUCAUGCACAAAGGAUGCUCUGUCUAGAAACCAUGGAUAGCACCUGGCCUGAGAGACAGAGCCAAGCCUUGGCACCAAGACCCACAGGAGCACGCACCUGCACCUCCCCGUCACCCCACCCAGUCCAUGGAGAGGGCAAAUGACAACUCACUGCACGCCUGCUGGGGCUGAGCGCUGCACCCCAUUCUCUACCUGCAAAACCCAAUCAUUUCAAAAACUGUGCUUGAACCCCUUUGAUGUGACCAGCAACUUAAUUCAGAUUCUGCAGACGUGGCCUUGAACAAAACAACAAACUCCUCAUUCUCAAAGAACGUAUAUCCUUGGGGUGGGGGGAGACAGACAUGUCGUGUUGCAGGAGGUCAUAAGUGGUCCAAGAAAAAUAAAUCCCAAUAUCGGGGCUUGGUAAUGCAUACCUGUAAUCCCAGCUACUCAGAAGGCUGAGGAAAAAAGAUUGCAAGUUCCAGACCAGCCAGGGAAACUUAGUGAGGCCCCAUCUCAAAAUAAAAAUAAAAACGGCUACCAAGACCUGUCAUGUAAAGGUACAAGAUCCCAAUAAUGAAUGUAACUGUACUGUAUACCUAAAAUGGACCAAUAAACUCAACGAGGAAAAAAAUAAUAAUAAAAAAUAAAAAUAAAAACGGCUACCAAGACCUGUCAUGUAAAGGUACAAGAUCCCAAUAAUGAAUGUAACUGUACUGUAUACCUAAAAUGGACCAAUAAACUCAACGAGG
rnacentral:lncRNA from 1 species